rnacentral:rRNA from 1 species
ACGCUCGACACCUACGGAGGCAGCAGUCGGGAAUAUUGCGCAAUGGAGGAAACUCUGACGCAGUGACGCCGCGUAUAGGAAGAAGGUUUUCGGAUUGUAAACUAUUGUCGUUAGGGAAGAGAAAGGACAGUACCUAAGGAGGAAGCUCCGGCUAACUACGUACACGCAGCCGCGGUAAUCUGAGCGGGCUGGCAAGGC